UACAGAGGUCCCAAGCGUUGUUCGGAUUCACUGGGCGUAAAGGGUGCGUAGGUGGCCAGGUAAGUUUGGUGUGAAAGCUCGGAGCUUAACUCCGAAAAGUCAUUGAAUACUAUCUGGCUAGAGGGUCGGAGGGGAGACUGGAAUUCUCGGUGUAGCAGUGAAAUGCGUAGAUAUCGAGAGGAACACCAGUGGCGAAGGCGAGUCUCUGGACGACUCCUGACACUGAGGCACGAAAGCCGGGGGAGCAAACAGG
rnacentral:rRNA from 1 species